UGUCUUUGGGAUUAGUUUAUACUUCAGAAC
rnacentral:piRNA from 1 species